AAGGCGCGCGAUACAGGGUGACAGCCCCGUACACAAAAAUGCACAUGCUGUGAGCUCGAUGAGUAGGGCGGGACACGUGGUAUCCUGUCUGAAUAUGGGGGGACCAUCCUCCAAGGCUAAAUACUCCUGACUGACCGAUAGUGAACCAGUACCGUGAGGGAAAGGCGAAAAGAACCCCGGCGAGGGGAGUGAAAAAGAACCUGAAACCGUGUACGUACAAGCAGUGGGAGCACGCUUAGGCGUGUGACUGCGUUCCUUUUGUAUAAUGGGUCAGCGACUUAUAUUCUGUAGCAAGGUUAACCGAAUAGGGGAGCCGAAGGGAAACCGAGUCUUAACUGGGCGUUAAGUUGCAGGGUAUAGACCCGAAACCCGGUGAUCUAGCCAUGGGCAGGUUGAAGGUUGGGUAACACUAACUGGAGGACCGAACCGACUAAUGU
rnacentral:rRNA from 1 species